UUUCAGGUUCCCUCACGAAGAGCUGAGAAGCGGCAGAAAGAAAAGUUACUUCCCAGGGGACCAGCCGGUUAGCCUCAGACGAGGCUGCAUUUCAUAGUGUGUGAGGCGCAAGUCACGAGAACCUAGCACAGUGCUGUGCACAAAGUAGAUGCACGAUAAAUGUUUGUUAAAGAAGUGAGCAAGUUGUCUUUCUACUUUAUUACAUGCAGACCAUAGAUCUUCAGUCCUCACCUUCUGCCAGAAUCUUGUCUUCAGCAUAUAUAACGGCACAUAGAAAAGGCACCAAAUUCACAGUAAAAUUUUUCUUCUGUAGACUCGAACACCAAUGUAGGCCAACACAUGGAAAAGCAGACUGAUUCUUUAGAAGCAGAGGGAAUAAGUGACUUGCCUAGAAACGAUCAUCACACCUUACUGGCCCCUACUUUUUAAGGACGUUUUCAUGAAACAAGAUGAGAGAGAAGGUGGGAGUGUCUCUAGCUCACAUAGUUAUAAUGAAAGGCUUUACUGAAUACAGUGAGAAGUAAUUGCCCUAUGCCAAGUGCGGACCAUGCUGUUUCCUGUUGGAUUUUUCCAGGACCAUGUGUCGUUUGUACCUAGAGCAUCCUGACAGAGCCUUCUGAGACUGACCCAUGUACCUGUGAAAUUUAAAAAAAUAUACUUUCAAAGAUAAAAUAUGUAAUGGGAAUAUAA